UACGAAGGGGGCUAGCGUUGCUCGGAAUCACUGGGCGUAAAGCGCACGUAGGCGGAUUGCUAAGUCAGGGGUGAAAUCCUGGAGCUCAACUCCAGAACUGCCUUUGAUACUGGCGAUCUUGAGUCCGGGAGAGGUGAGUGGAACUGCGAGUGUAGAGGUGAAAUUCGUAGAUAUUCGCAAGAACACCAGUGGCGAAAGGCGGCUCACUGGCCCGGUACUGACGCUGAGGUGCGAAAGCGUGGGGGAGCAAACA
rnacentral:rRNA from 1 species